rnacentral:rRNA from 1 species
UAGGGAAUCUUGCACAAUGGGCGAAAGCCUGAUGCAGCGACGCCGCGUGGGGGAUGAAGGCCUUCGGGUUGUAAACCCCUUUCAGUAGGGACGAAAAUGACGGUACCUACAGAAGAAGCUCCGGCCAACUACGUGCCAGCAGCCGCGGUAACACGUAGGGAGCAAGCGUUGUCCGGAUUUAUUGGGCGUAAAGAGCUCGUAGGUGGUUCAGUAAGUCGGAUGUGAAAACUCAGGGCUCAACUCUGAGACGCCAUCCGAUACUGCUGUGACUUGAGUUCGGUAGAGGAGUGUGGAAUUCCUGGUGUAGCGGUGAAAUGCGCAGAUAUCAGGAGGAACACCAACAGCGAAGGCAGCACUCUGGGCCGACACUGACACUGAGGAGCGAAAGCGUGGGGAGCAAACAGGAUUAGAUACCCCCGUAGUCC